rnacentral:lncRNA from 1 species
GAUCGAAUAGGCUGCGAUAGCUCUUGGAAUUCGGGGUAAUCGAAGUCCUCCUCGCCUUGAGUGUUGAACUCGAGGAAUGUGUAGGCGUCGUUGCCGGUGUCCGGCUGCGACGCCGUCUCGUACAGAUUGCUGGGCUGCGAAUCCAUGCCUCUUGCCCGAGAAAUCGACGAGGUGGGAGCGGAGAUCACGAAAUUGUGGUGGAUUGGGGAAAAAUCUGAGGGGGGAUUAGGGUUAGGGUUUGGUCGCAGGGAAGGAGAAGGGGUUAAGCGCGGCGAGUGGGGAGCGAUUGGGGAAUUUGAUGAUGCUGUGUUUCUUCAGAUUUAGAUAUAACAUGCUUAGGAAGAAGGUGGAUUACUACUACUCUUCGGCUUUAGUAAUAAACUACUAGUAUUNGCAUUAACACUAAGACAGGGCUCCCUACAAAGCAGAACAACAACACUUUCUGUCUUUGCAGAUAUGAAUCCAAGAAGAAACACAUUUCGACAACCACAGUUAUAACAUUCUAGGAUUGUUUCCCCCAGCGGGCUGUCUUUGUGAAGACACACUUCUUUAUGUUUUGCUCUCACCUAUAAUGGAUCAGAGAGUAGCGAUUAGCUUGGUCCAAUUAACUUCUCAAACAGCAUGAUUCAAAAAAAUUAGAUUGAAGGAGAGUUAACAGGCACUUCCAACUCAUCCGCCAACUAGGAAAAACACUAAGCAAAAGCCCAUUAUUUACUUAUACAGAAUCCGCAAGCAGACAACUUAUCUCAGAAUGACUCACCAAAUGAUUGACAAUGUGCGAACCAGAAGUAUUCCCUCGCGAAUUACAAAACCAUUUCCUACAGGACGGAACAUUGCAGCGCACAACGCAAGCCGGAUUGGUGACCCCGCAAUACCUGCAAGCAUGCUCAGUAAAGUCUCCCUUUCCAUACUCAAACAACUCGUCGUCACCACCAGUGUCUUCAAAAUUUAGACCGCUCAUCCCCGCGGCCAACGCCUCCACCACGCCGGUCUCCUUGCUGUUACUGUUACUAGUGCUAUUAUUGUUGGGAGCACCAGCACUUGCAGCGCGGGGCUUGACUGUGGAGUGGGAGGCUUCAGAAGAGGAGGGAAGCUCCGCGGCGGAGAUAGAAUCGGACGGCGUGGGCCAGACGGCGGUGGAUGAUCGAAUAGGCUGCGAUAGCUCUUGGAAUUCGGGGUAAUCGAAGUCCUCCUCGCCUUGAGUGUUGAACUCGAGGAAUGUGUAGGCGUCGUUGCCGGUGUCCGGCUGCGACGCCGUCUCGUACAGAUUGCUGGGCUGCGAAUCCAUGCCUCUUGCCCGAGAAAUCGACGAGGUGGGAGCGGAGAUCACGAAAUUGUGGUGGAUUGGGGAAAAAUCUGAGGGGGGAUUAGGGUUAGGGUUUGGUCGCAGGGAGGGAGAAAGGGGUUAAGCGCGGCGAGUGGGGAGCGAUUGGGGAAUUUUGAUGAUGCUGUGUUUCUUCAGAAUUUAGAUAUAACAUGCUUUUAGGAAGAAGGUGGAUUACUACUACUCUUCGGCUUU